rnacentral:rRNA from 1 species
GCUAAGUUGUGGCGAGCAGCGUGUGUAAUCCGAGGGGGUGUGGGUCUGAUUGGAAGGACUUGGCGGAAGGGGGCAGGAGGGGGUUUGGAAAGUCGGGCGUGAAAUGCCGGGGGGGAACCUGGGGGUGGCGUUGGUUACGUGAAGGCUGGAGUAGGGCAGAGGGUGGUGGAAUUCCACGUGUAGAGGUGAAAUUCGUAGAUAUUGGGAAGAACACCGGUGGCGAAGGCGGCGACCUGGUCCUUUACUGACGCUGAGGCGCGAAAGCGUGGGGAGCAAACAGGAUUAGAUACCCUAGUAGUC